CCUACGGGUGGCAGCAGUGAGGAAUAUUGGUCAAUGGACGAGCGUCUGAACCAGCCAAGUAGCGUGAAGGAUGACUGCCCUAUGGGUUGUAAACUUCUUUUAUAUGGGAAUAAAGUGUUCCACGUGUGGGCUUUUGUAUGUACCAUAUGAAUAAGGAACGGCUAACUCCGUGCCAGCAGCCUCGGUAAUACGGAGGAUCCCAGCGUUAUCCGGAUUUAUUGGGUUUAAAGGGAGCGUAGGUGGAUUGGUAAGUCAGUUGUGAAAGUUUGGGGGUCAACCGUAAAAUUGCAGUUGAAACUGGCAGUCUUGAGUACAGUAGAGGUGGGCGGAAUUCGUGGUGUAGCGGUGAAAUGCUUAGAUAUCACGAAGAACUCCGAUUGCGAAGGCAGCUCACUGGACUGCAACUGACACUGAGGCUCGAAAGUGUGGGUAUCAAACAGGAUUAGAUACCCGAGUAGUC
rnacentral:rRNA from 1 species